rnacentral:lncRNA from 1 species
AUAAUGUUUUGAUGAAGGCCCUGGAUGGGCUUUGAGUACCAUGAGAAAUUUGGUGUGAAUUGUAGUAUAUUGGAUGAUUUACAGAAUAGUACGAAGGUCCUUAUAAAGAGGACUCAAUAAUGAGAAUACAAAGUCAAAUAUCCUAGAAAUCUGCUAUUAACCAAAUAUGGUCCCUAAACUAUAGCUAUGCAAUCUUUGAUAGAGAUAAUCACAAUAUCAAUUACAAUGAAUAGCAUCAAACCAAAUAAGAAAGUAUCUCGACAAAUAUCAUAAAAAUGGACGCACUAUUUUCUAUAUUCAAUCAAACAAAUCAAAGAAAAAGAAAGAGAAGAAGGAAGAAUGCAAUACAAGACAAAAGAAUGAUAGAAGCUAGCAAAAGGUGGAUGUUGCCGCUGCAGCGCAUGUCCCAUAAAAAGAAGCAGCGGUCCAACUGUAAAUUCCUCAGCGCGUUCAGGGUAUUAACGUUUUCUAAAAAAAUAUGAACUGUGCCAAAGCAUAAAUUUUUGAAAAAUAUUUGCUGGUGAUAAAACGUAAAAGUAGUCUAAAAGUAGUCUAGCAGAUGAGUAGAGAGAGAAGGAAAAUGGGACAAUAUUUCUGGAAGAAAGAAAGAGAGAGAAUAAAGCAACAAAUGAAGGAGAUAGAAGUGUGAAAAGACUUUACCAUUAUAAAGGAUAUUUUGAUCACUUACAAUGUAAAGAAAAAAAAAAUCAAUGAUGUCAUUUUCCAAAUUUAUUAACUUUUGUCUUUCUUUAAAAUGUUUAAAAAGUAUUUUCUCAAUAUAUAAUUAAGUAUUAAAAG